rnacentral:rRNA from 1 species
UGGGGAAUAUUGCACAAUGGGCGCAAGCCUGAUGCAGCCAUGCCGCGUGUGUGAAGAAGGCCUUCGGGUUGUAAAGCACUUUCAGCGAGGAGGAAGGUGGUGGACUUAAUACGUUCAUCAAUUGACGUUACUCGCAGAAGAAGCACCGGCUAACUCCGUGCCAGCAGCCGCGGUAAUACGGAGGGUGCAAGCGUUAAUCGGAAUUACUGGGCGUAAAGCGCACGCAGGCGGUUUGUUAAGUCAGAUGUGAAAUCCCCGGGCUCAACCUGGGAACUGCAUUUGAAACUGGCAAGCUAGAGUCUCGUAGAGGGGGGUAGAAUUCCAGGUGUAGCGGUGAAAUGCGUAGAGAUCUGGAGGAAUACCGGUGGCGAAGGCGGCCCCCCUGGACGAAGACUGACGCUCAGGUGCGAAAGCGUGGGGCAGCAAACAGGAUUAGAUACCCUGGUAGUCCACGCUGUAAACGAUGUCGAUUUGGAGGUUGUGCCCUUGAGGCGUGGNUUCCGGAGCUAACGCGUUAAAUCGACCGCCUGGGGAGUACGG